rnacentral:rRNA from 1 species
CGAACGCUGGCGGCGUGCUUAACACACGCAAGUCGAACGGAAAGGCCCUGCUUUUGUGGGGUGCUCGAGUGGCGAACGGGUGAGUAACACGUGAGUAACCUGCCCUUGACUUUGGGAUAACUUCAGGAAACUGGGGCUAAUACCGGAUAGGAGCUCCUGCUGCAUGGUGGGGGUUGGAAAGUUUCGGCGGUUGGGGAUGGACUCGCGGCUUAUCAGCUUGUUGGUGGGGUAGUGGCUUACCAAGGCUUUGACGGGUAGCCGGCCUGAGAGGGUGACCGGCCACAUUGGGACUGAGAUGCGGCCCAGACUCCUACGGGAGGCAGCAGUGGGGAAUAUUGCACAAUGGGCGGAAGCCUGAUGCAGCAACGCCGCGUGCGGGAUGACGGCCUUCGGGUUGUAAACCGCUUUCGCCUGUGACGAAGCGUGAGUGACGGUAAUGGGUAAAGAAGCACCGGCUAACUACGUG